GCUCUGAAUUAAAUUAGUACAGUGCAGCUAGCUUGAUUUUAAAUCCGACGAUCGACAGCUUCCUAUGGUUUCUGAUUCUUCUCUCAAACUUGUCGAGUGAUUCCGCUUUCUUGAAUCCCCUUUUCCUCCUCUCGACUCACUUAAACGUUUUUCAGGAAAUGAGUGGAGAUGUGCUUGUAGCGGUUGCUGCUGCAAUUGGCAGCUUUUUGCAAGGAUGGGACAAUGCCACUAUAGCUGGGUCCAUUCUAUACAUUAAAAAGGAAUUUAAUCUAGAAACACAACCUACCAUGGAAGGACUUAUUGUUGCCAUGUCACUUGUUGGUGCUGUUUUGAUUACAACUUGCUCUGGUGCAAUAGCUGACUGGCUUGGCCGUUGUCCCUUGCUCAUAACUUCUUCGGUUCUUUAUUUUGUUAGUGGCCUUGUGAUGCUUUGGUCUCCAAAUAUCUAUGUUCUACUUUUGGCAAGACUUUUGAAUGGGUUUGGAGUUGGUUUGGCAGUUACUCUUGUCCCUAUAUAUAUAUAUAUAUCUGAAACAACACCACCAGAGAUAAGGGGUUUAUUGAACACUCUACCUCAGUUCACUGGCUGUGUUGGCAUGUUCUUUUCAUAUUGCAUGGUUUUUGGCAUGUCGUUGAUGAGCUCUCCUACUUGGAGACUGAUGCUUGGUGUGCUUUCUAUCCCCUCCAUUUUGUAUUUUAUAUUGACAAUAUUUUACUUGCCCGAGUCCCCCAGAUGGCUUGUGAGUAAAGGGCGAAUGCUAGAUGCAAAGCGGGUCUUGCAGAGGCUCCGUGGACAGGAAGAUGUCUCUGGGGAAAUGGCUUUGCUAGUUGAGGGUCUUGGAGUUGGUGGAGAAACAUCAGUGGAGGAAUACAUUGUUGGCCCAGCAGAUGAACUUGUGGAGGACCAGGAACCAAGUGCUCAAAAAGAUCAAAUUAGGUUAUUUAGGCCUGAACAGGGACACUCUUUGGUUGCUCGGCCUGUCACUGGGCAAAGUGUACUUGGUAUUGCAUCUCGCCAAGGAAGCACAUUUGCACAUAUGCCCCUCAUGGACCCUGUUGUCGCUCUGUUUGGCAGCGUUUAUGAGAAGCUUCUGGAUGCAGGAAGCAAGGGAAGCAUGCUCUUUCCACAUCUGGGCAGCAUGUUUAGUGUUGCUGGAAAUCAAACAAAAAAUGAAAACUAGGAUGAAGAAAACCUUGCCAUUGAGGGCGACGAUUAUGCAUCUGAGGCUGCAGCUGAAGAAUCUGAUGACAAUUUGCAGAGCCCACUUAUAUCACGUCAGACAACAAGCUUGGAAAAGGACAUGGUUCUGCCUCUAUCCCAUGGAAGUAUUUUUAGCAUGAUGCAGGGUAAUGAUGGUGAACCAAUUGGCAGUGCUGGCAUUGGUGGUGGAUGGCAGCUUGCUUGGAAAUGGACAGAGAGAGAAAGUGAUAAUGAAAAGAAGGAGGGAGGUUUUAAAAGAAUAUAUUUGCAUGAGAGUGGAGCUCAGGGAAUUCGAAGGGGAUCUUUAGUUUCUCUUGCUGGGGGUGAUAUGCCUGCUGGUGGUGAAUUUGUCCGUGCUGCUGCUUUGGUUAGUCAACCUGCUUUAUAUUCAAAAGAUUUGAUGGAUCAACAUCCUAUUGGACCAGCUAUGAUUCAUCCGUCUGAAGCAUCUGGAAAAGGGCCUAGUUGGAGAGAUUUGUUUGAACCAGGAGUCCAGCAUGCAUUGAUUGUUGGUGUGGGGAUUCAAAUACUUCAGCAGUUCUCAGGAAUUAAUGGAGUUAUGUACUACACUCCGCAAAUACUUGAGCAAGCAGGUGUAGGAGUUCUCUUGUCAAACUUAGGCAUCAGUUCUUCUUCUGCAUCUCUGCUGAUAAGUGCAAUCACAAAUUUCUUAAUGCUCCCUUCUAUAGCCGUUGCCAUGAGGCUUAUGGAUAUCUCUGGCAGGAGGAGUCUGCUGCUAGGCACAAUUCCAAUCUUAAUAAUAGCCCUCAUUGUUUUGGUCAUUGGAAGUUUAGUGACUAUGGGGACUGUUGCAAAGGCUGCUAUAUCUACAGUCUGUGUUGUUUUGUACUUCUGCUCAUUUGUUAUGGGGUUCGGGCCCAUUCCCAACAUACUCUGUUCAGAGAUAUUUCCAACUCGGAUCCGAGGAAUUUGCAUUGCCAUAUGUGCCCUAGUGUUCUGGAUUGGGGAUAUUAUUGUUAUCUACACACUACCUGUCAUGCUGUCUUCUAUUGGUCUUGCUGGUGUAUUUGGCAUAUAUGCUAUCGUCUGCGUUAUAUCAUGGAUAUUUGUUUUCUUGAAAGUGCCUGAAACCAAGGGGAUGCCUCUUGAAGUGAUCUCGGAGUUCUUUGCUCUUGGUGCAAAGCAGGCUGCUGCUGCUGGUAACAACUAAUGUUGACCGUUUGACAACAUGUUGCCUUGAAGUUGCUUUUGUUUUAAGGUUCCAUUCUCUGAUAAAGUGGUGUUUGCUAUUCAGUUUUGUGAGUUGUGUAGA